UACAGAGGGUGCGAGCGUUAAUCGGAAUUACUGGGCGUAAAGCGCGCGUAGGCGGCUUUGCAAGCCGGAUGUGAAAUCCCCCGGGCUUAACCUGGGAACUGCAUCCGGGACUGCAUUGCUAGAGUAUGGGAGAGGGAAGUGGAAUUUCAGGUGUAGUGGUGAAAUGCGUAGAUAUCGGGAGGAACACCAGUGGCGAAGGCGGCUUCCUGGCCUGUUCUUGACGCUGAGGCGCGAAAGCUAGGGUAGCAAAACGGG
rnacentral:rRNA from 1 species